rnacentral:rRNA from 1 species
UACGUGGGGAGCAAGCGUUGUUCGGAUUUACUGGGCGUAAAGGGCGCGUAGGCGGCCAGCACAAGUCAGUUGUGAAAUCUCCGGGCUUAACUCGGAAAGGUCAACUGAUACUGUGCGGCUAGAGUGCAGAAGGGGCAACUGGAAUUCUCGGUGUAGCGGUGAAAUGCGUAGAUAUCGAGAGGAACACCUGCGGCGAAGGCGGGUUGCUGGGCUGACACUGACGCUGAUGCGCGAAAGCCAGGGGAGCGAACGGG